CUCAGAAACUUAAAGGAAUGACGGGGCCCGGCACAAGCGGGUGGAGCAUGUGGUUUAAUUCGAUGAUACGCGAGGAACCUUACCUGGGCUCAAAUGUAUGUUGACGUAUUCUGAAAGGGAUACUUCUUCGGACAAUAUACAAGGUGCUGCAUGGUUGUCGUCAGCUCGUGCCGUGAGGUGUCGGGUUAAGUCCCAUAACGAGCGCAACCCCUAUCAUUAGUUGCCAUCAGGUCAAGCUGGGGACUCUAAAGGAACUGCCUACGCAAGUAGUGAGGAAGGCGGGGAUGACGUCAAAUCAGCACGGCCCUUACGUCCAGGGCUACACACGUGCUACAAUGGCCGAUACAGAGGGCAGCUACCUGGUGACAGGAUGCAAAUCUCCAAAGUCGGUCUCAGUUCGGAUCGGAGUCUGCAACCCGACUCCGUGAAGUUGGAUUCGCUAGUAAUCGCGCAUCAGCCAUGGCGCGGUGAAUACGUUCCCGGGCCUU
rnacentral:rRNA from 1 species